rnacentral:rRNA from 1 species
GACGAACGCUGGCGGCGUGCCUAACACAUGCAAGUCGAGCGAACAGACGAGGAGCUUGCUCCUCUGACGUUAGCGGCGGACGGGUGAGUAACACGUGGAUAACCUACCUAUAAGACUGGGAUAACUUCGGGAAACCGGAGCUAAUACCGGAUAAUAUAUUGAACCGCAUGGUUCAAUAGUGAAAGACGGUUUUGCUGUCACUUAUAGAUGGAUCCGCGCCGCAUUAGCUAGUUGGUAGGGUAACGGCUUACCAAGGCAACGAUGCGUAGCCGAACUGAGAGGGUGAUCGGCCACACGGGAACUGAGACACGGUCCAGAGUCCUACGGGAGGCAGCAGUAGGGAAUCUUACGCAAUGGGCGAGAGCCUGACGGAGCAGCGCCGCGUGAGUGGUGAAAAUCUUCGGAUCGUGAAGCUCUGUUUUUGGGGAAGAACAAAUGUGUAAGUAACUAUGCACGUCUUGACGGUACCUGAUCAGAAAGCCACGGCUAACUACGUG